GCCGGGCGUGGUGGUGGGCGCCUGUAAUCCCAGCUACUUGGGAGGCUGAGGCAGGAGAAUUGCUUGAACCCGGGACGCGGAGGUUGCAGUGAGCUGAGAUCACACCACUGCACUCCAGCCUGGGCAACAGAGCAAGACUCUGUCUCAA
ensembl:misc_RNA Metazoa_SRP Metazoan signal recognition particle RNA